AGGAUGAACGCUGGCGGCGUGCCUAAUACAUGCAAGUCGAGCGGUAAGGCCCCUUCGGGGGUACACGAGCGGCGGACGGCUGAGUAACACGUAGGAACGUACCCCAAACUGAGGGAUAAGCACCAGAAAUGGUGUCUAAUACCGCAUGUGAUCUUCGGAUUAAAGCUUCGGCGGUUUGGGAACGGCCUGCGCAUGAUUAGCUUGUUGGUGAGGUAAAAGCUCACCAAGGCGACGAUCAUUAGCUGGUCUGAGAUGAUGAUCAGCCAGACUGGGACUGAGAACGGCCCAGACUCCUACGGGAGGCAGCAGUAGGGAAUUUUCCACAAUGGGCGAAAGCCUGAUGGAGCAACGCCGCGUGCAGGACGAAGGCUUUCGGGUCGUAAACUGCUUUUAUAUGUGACGAUUAUGACGGUAGCAUAUGAAUAAGGAUCGGCUAACUCCGUGCCAGCAGCCGC
rnacentral:rRNA from 1 species